rnacentral:lncRNA from 1 species
UAUAAACUGAUAAAUGAUUGCUUGAACAUGGAAAAAAAAUUUAAGCAACUGAACUUAUGCCCUGCAGGUGUUAUCUACAUAAAAACUAGUAAUCAUAUCCCAGGCUGUCUUACACAGGCUGACUUUGCAACUAAGAUCAAUGAUGUUUCGUUGUGUCUGUCCACCCUGACUGGCAUCAGUGUCUUGGAGCUUCGUAAAUGGGACAUUUCUAAAUGGGGCCUUUAGCCCUCCAGACUAUGACUGUCACCAGAUUACAGGCCUUGGCCCUGAUAAAUGAAAGAGCCCCAGGCUCCUAGGGCCUGCACCCUCUUCAACAGAGGAGGAUGGGACCCGGUUUCCUAAUUCACUCUAAUUUUCAAACGAUCUGAUUGUGGAAAUGGGAAUGCGAGCAGACCCUUAAAACGACUAAUGAGCUUAAUCGACCACACUUGGCAAUCUUAUUUAAGUCCAUGAAUUAAACCAUUAAAAAACCUGCUUGAAUUUAACUGGCGGCCCCUUAAUCUCAACAAAUAACUCUAAUCCUGCGUGCCGGAACGCAGGCUUCAUGGAGGCUUCCUGCGUUAGCCUACUGUAUGUGUGUGUGUUUGUUAUGUGUGUGUGUGUGUUUGUUAUGUGUGUGUGUGUGUGUGUGUGUAUGCAGGCGAGGCGAAGUGAUAGUAGGGUAUCAGAAGACUUGUCCCAUCCUUAUUCCCCCAUUGGUUCCCUCCAGGGACAGUGUUUAUUGGCUGUUUGUGAAGCCCUCUCUUCCCCCGCCGCCCUCAGCAACCAUUGUUUCAACAAAGCCUGUUACUUGAUCGUUCAAUUUUCUGCUUCCUCUGGUUCCAGUGCUGCAGCUGCUGCGUCUCCCGAGCAUGGAGAAUGGGAUGAGAGGGGAACUGCUCCACUGAUAAGGAUGAAGGGCAAAUAUUGAAACCUCACUGUUUGUUUUCCUGUCGUCGCCUUCUCUUCUUCUCCUCCUUAUUUACCCAACACAUUUCUAUUCUUCGCCUCACCAAACCUCGGUGGCUGCUGCUAAUUCUCGUUUCCUUACAUUGAUCUGCAACCAUCUGUAACCAGGAGGAAGGACUGUGAUGGUUUACGGGGGGCUAGUUAAGACCCCUGCUGCCAUAGGUGGUGGUCGUGAUACUGACAGACAGGACAGAGGGACUAAAGUGUUGGCUGCCACGUGACGUCACUGGCGGGCAUGAAGCUGGGAACGGGAUCUGGGAGAGAAAGAGAGGCUGAAGCAGAUGGCAUCUCCGUAACAAUGCCCGCUGAGCCCUGAGACUCAGACCCUCCAACUGCAGGACACACACGCUGUCUGCUCCCUGCUCCACUGACACAACCACUGAUGCUGGAUGACAGCUCAGACUGGGGGACUGCAAGGUCCGGGAGGGAGGCAGAGGGAGAGUGACAGGCGGCUGUAGGACAAAGUCACCGUUUUUUUUCUCAGUAGUUUGUUGUUUGGAAAAUAGCUCUUCAAUUUGAUUCUAAUAUGUGGUUUGGUAAGCACACUAGCCAUGUUUUCUUGUA